rnacentral:tmRNA from 1 species
GGGGCCGAUCGGUUUCGACGAUGGUGAGUGGUUCAAGGGAAGCGUGCCGAGGAUGUGAAGUCACCUCGUUAACGCCCUUCACACAACAAUAAGUGCUGAACAGAACCGCACUGACUUCGCUCUCGCUGCCUAAUUCCAGCGAUUGAGCCUCUAAAGUCCGUCAGCCCGCAGGUGCUUCUACUGCGGAUCCUGGCGUCAUCUUGAGGAGCCACUGGUCGUCUGGCGGGUCACUUGCCAGCCGACGAGAUCUAAGGUGACUGGGCUUGUUAGCCGCUUGUCUGCGAGACAGGCUAGAGCCGAGAAAAGCGCGAGCAGACUGCGCACGGAGAAGCCUUGGGGGCUAGCCAUCGGACCGGGGUUCGAUUCCCCGCGGCUCCACCC